UGCGGGUGUAGCUCAAUGGUAGAGUUCUGGCCUUCCAAGCCAGCUGUGAGGGUUCGAUCCCCUUCACGUGCAU
rnacentral:tRNA from 1 species